rnacentral:rRNA from 1 species
AACGGACGCUGGCGGCAUGCCUAACACAUGCAAGUCGAACGAGACCUUCGGGUCUAGUUGCGCACGGGUGCGUAACGCGUGGGAACCUGCCCUUAGGUUCGGAAUAACUCCCCGAAAGGGGUGCUAAUACCGGAUAAUUUCUUCGGACCAAAGAUUUAUCGCCUUUGGAUGGGCCCGCGUUGGAUUAGCUAGUUGGUAGGGUAAAAGCCUACCAAGGCGACGAUCCAUAGCUGGUCUGAGAGGAUGAUCAGCCACACUGGGACUGAGACACGGCCCAGACUCAUACGGGAGGCAGCAGAGGGGAAUAUUGGAAAAUGGGCGAAAGGCUGAUCCAGCAAGGACGGGUGAGUGAUGAAGGCCUUAGGGUAGUAAAGCUCUUUUACCCGGGAUGAUAAUGACAGUACCGGGAGAAUAAGCACCGGCUAACUCCGUG